AAAAUCAAGCUCGUCUGGAAUUAUUGUUUUCGACUUUUCGUGAGAUUCAUUCCUCCUGUUUAUCGCUUAGCACCUCUUCUUAUCCCUACCGUUGACAACAGCUGUUGAGAAUUGUUUGAUUGAUGAACCUGAAUAGUCAUUGAAUAGCAGAUUUCUCGACGCUUCGGAAUUGUAGUUUUCUUGAAUCCGGUGCACGAAUUUGCAGAGGGAUUGUGCUCUUCCCCACGCAAAUAUAUCUGCGGAAUUCUUCUUCUUACUUUUUCAAUGAUCUUUCUUCAAGUUCUCUUAUCUCUCUUUUGCCGACUCUCUGUCUUCACUCGCCAUCGUUUCCCAGCCGAACUUCGAACAAAAGUGCCAUAUCCGCCGCUCUGAAAUCUAAAAAGAAUCACAAAUACCUUUUGAGCUUGAACUUUCAGGAGUUGCUUUAGUUGGAAGGAGCUGUCAAGCUUUUGCAGGAUAUGUACCCUCAAGGGGUGACAGUGAUGGCCUGAACUAAAAUAUGCGCAUAACAUUCUUCUGAUUCUCUGAUCCAAUUUUGAAUAAAGUUGUUUUCAAACUCUUGUAGUUGGAUGUUAAUCUUAUCAAUUAUCAUAGUUGGAUUUUUGAGUCUUGGAUUCUGAUUUCUGAGGUUGUGGAGUUCAUGCUUUUACACAUUGUGGGGGUGGUGUGGUUAUUUACUACUUCUCCAUUACGCGGAUCGUGUUAGGUGCAAAUUUAUUUGAACUUCUCAUCUUCUGCGUUGGAUUAAUGGGUAGAAUUUGUGAAUGCAGGUUCCAAUAUAUCUUGACAUUGAACAUUCAGCACAGGUUGAUGUGGCAAGAUCAGAAAAAGUUAUAAAUGCAGAUAUGAAACCGGAGUUCCUAGGAAAAAAAAAAGCUUGCUUUUCUUAAUUGGGUUCAAAUGCUUUUCAUGACAAGGAUUGUUCACCAGGUCAAUUUAGAAUGCCUUGGACAAGUUGUUCUUAACACAAAUGGUUUGUUUUAGCCUGAUAGUUAUUGGAACAGAUUCAGACACAACCAUGAUAGAUGGUUUAGGUGUAGCUGGCUGGGGAGUUGUUGCGUGGAAGCAGAAGCUACAAUGCUUGGCCAGACACCAAUCUGUUAGGACCUUGGGCUUAAUACAAGAGGGGGUGAAUUGUAUAAAGAACAACACGCUAUGCUCAAGAAUGAAACUAUGUUCAGACAAGAAGGAUGGGACUGAAUUCUUGGGCUCGCCUCAAUAAAUCAAUAUGAGAGGUUCUGAUGAGUUAAUCUGCCUAAGAGAAACCUGUUGUUACAGGCAAACCAAGGGCACACAUUAACUACCUAAAUAUUACCAAAAAUGAUUUGGGGCCUUGAACGGUGCAUCACAGUGCCUUAUUGGAGGCAUUAGCAGAAGAAUUGCCUUUCGACACUUCGACACAAUCCUGUUCUCAUGGAAGAUCACUGGGAUUGAGACUAAUUCAAAACAAGUUCUUUGAUCGCUUCAAUUAACAUGGAAGAUGGAACUACUAUCAAAACUAAGGAAUACAAAAGGGUAAUGCCCUCAGACUACACUGUGGUUGUACAAGUUUUAGCCCCUCAAGCCCUCAUGCAAAGGUGCAUUCACACCAUAUAAACAAUGAGCUGAAGAUGCUGCAGAGAUUUGGCUCAGGAAUUCAGGAUGAUGUGCAAGCCCUCUUUGCUUUGAAGUGUUUGUUAUUAAAUAUGAAGCUUGCAUCAAGACUGAAAUUUUUUUUUCCAAGGAUGUUCAACAUGAUAGACCUGAGGUUAAUGUAGACUAAUUAGAUUGCAAUUUUGUUUUGGUUAAUUAUUCUACUUGGCAUUUGCUUUAAUGUUUCUAGGUUUUGAAUAAAGAAAUUGAUGAAUCCCAGUUUAUUUUUGUUUGGAUAGAAUGUGAGUUUAUAAUGAUAACUCUUAACUUAUUUUCCA